GCGUUGUCCGGAUUUACUGGGCGUAAAGAGCGCGCAGGCGGUCGUUCAAGUCGCGUGUGAAAGCCCCCGGCUCAACUGGGGAGGGUCACGCGAUACUGAUCGACUCGAAGGCAGGAGAGGGUAGUGGAAUUCCCGGUGUAGUGGUGAAAUGCGUAGAUAUCGGGAGGAACACCAGUGGCGAAGGCGACUACCUGGCCUGUUCUUGACGCUGAGGCGCGAAAGCUAG
rnacentral:rRNA from 1 species